rnacentral:rRNA from 1 species
UACGUAGGGUGCAAGCGUUGUCCGGAAUUAUUGGGCGUAAAGAGCUCGUAGGCGGUUUGUCGCGUCUGUACUGUGAAACUCGGGGCUUAACCCCGGGCGCAGUGGGUACGGGCAGACGUAGAGUGCGGUAGGGGAGACUGGAAUUCCUGGUGGUAGCGGUGAAAUGCGCAGAUAUCAGGAGGAACACCGGUGGCGAAGGCGGGUCUCUGGGCCGUAACUGACGCCUGGA